GCCGGGUGCAGUGGCUCACACCUGUAAUCCUAGCAUUUUGGGAGGCUGAGAUGGGUGGAUUGCUUGAGGCCAGGAGUUCAAAACUAGCCUGGCCAACAUAGUGAAACCCCAUCUCUA
rnacentral:SRP_RNA from 1 species